CACUCCGAUUCAUAAUAAGUGUCGGGCAAAGUUACAAAAUAGCAGUGAGUACCUGCUAAGUGUUAACUUCCAAAUUCAGAGAAACCGUGGUAUUAAAAAAGGGCAAAUCCUGAGCCAAAUCCGUGUUUUGUGAAAACAAGGGGUUCUCGAACUAGAAUGCAAAAAAAAAGGAUAGGUCCAGAGACUCAAUGGAAGCUGUUCUAACGAAUCGAGUUAAUUUAAUUAGGUUGUUUCGGUAGUGGAACUCCUUUUAAAUUAGAGAAAGAAGAGAUUUAUACAUUUGUCUCGG
rnacentral:ncRNA from 1 species